rnacentral:lncRNA from 1 species
UUUGCACUAUAAGGCGCACUUAAAAUUAAUCCUUUAAUUUUCCCAAAAAUCGUCAGUGUGCCUUAUAAUCCGGUGCACCUUAUGUAUAAAUUUUACUAGUCAGGUUGUAAGUAGCAGUAAAGCCACUCUGCUGAGCUACAGCAUUAUACAGGAGUUUGAGUGGAGUUUUUUUUCUGCACUGAGGCUGCACUGGAGCAGUAUUAGCAUUACCUGCUAACCAUGCUAAGCGCUAGCUCUUUUGCCAUUCAGAGGACUGUACAGGGAGAAGCUGUGACAGUGUAGGGAAUUUGCGGAGUUUGAUCUCACAGAGUCAUCUCAGAGUGACAGACCUGCAGAGAGAGACUGAACAGGAGAUUAUACGUGUGAGACAACAGCUGAGAUCAGUACGGCUACAGCAGAAAAUCCUGACCUGUGAACUACCAAGUCAAGAUAUUCUGCAGACUGAGGCUGAACACUUACCACAAAGAGCCGUAAACACAGAGACCUGUAACGUAAGUAGCCUAGACUCACAGUGACCAAUUACAACCAGUGUUAGUGUACACCCACUGGCCACU